rnacentral:lncRNA from 1 species
GAGGAUGCAAUGCAUUCGUUAGUAGUUCCAUAUAGUCUCGCUCGUUUCAACGAAACAGUGGGAGUAUUAUAUGCUACUAAAUCAUAUUGACUUGGACCAAUAGUUGUGAUAGGCCCAAGUUCUUUUAAUGUGAUUAAAAUGUUUUGAUGUAGCCCAAAACUACUCCCUCAAAUCAAAUAUUAAGUUGAUAAGCGAGAGAUGUUUUGAACAUCUCUUCGUAGGCCUUCCACCGUGGUGGGUUCCAAGCGUUUGUGACUCAUGCACCGGCCUCACCCUAUCAUGGGGAAGUACAAAGCAUGUGCUUACAUCCAGGAGGAAUUCAUAUACAUAUGAUGAGGUGAAUGUAGGCAACGAGGAUAGCCGACAUCGUAUCAUCGUGAGGCUAUUCUUGAACCCCUAUACAAACUAAGCAUGGUGGGAAUAACUUAACUAAGUGCAAUGAAGCCGACAUCGUAUCAUCGUGAGGCAACAUUCUCUAGAGGCCAAACGGAUGGGUAAUUACAAAAGUUGUAAAUGAAUAAUGCGUUAUUCUCUCAUCAUUAUUUUUGCUAGCCAACAUCGUAUCAUCGUGAGGUGGGCUUGGUAAUGGUGAGUCUCCCAUAACCCGCUAAGAGUUCAAUAUAACUCUCGAAUUCUAUUGAGGGAUGUGGAAUUUGCCAAAAAUAGUGGGUGGUACUAUUUUGAUUCAAAGACCCAAUCAAAUAGUUUUAAACAAACAAUCUAAUACGAUUUCUGUUAUGUUAUGUAGUGAACGACAUGCCUAAAAUUAUACCCACCAUUAUACUUGACCAAAGGGGCCUUAAGGGCCAACGUUUCCUUGCUUGGUAUCGCCACAU